UACGGAGGGGGCGAGCGUUAUUCGGAAUUAUUGGGCGUAAAGGGCGCGUAGGCGGCCUGGUAAGUCAAAGGUGAAAUCCCUCGGCUCAACUGAGGAACUGCCUUUGAAACUGCCUGGCUUGAGGCCGGGAGGGGGUGGCGGAAUUCCCAGUGUAGCGGUGAAAUGCGUAGAUAUUGGGAGGAACACCAGUGGCGAAGGCGGCCACCUGGACCGGUUCUGACGCUGAUGAGCGAAAGCGUGGGUAGCAAACAGG
rnacentral:rRNA from 1 species